rnacentral:tRNA from 1 species
GACAGUUUGGCCGAGCGGUCUAAGGCGCCAGCUUCAGGCGCUGGUCCGAAAAGAGCGCGGGUUCGAAUCCCGCAGCUGUUA